GACGAACGCUGGCGGCGUGCUUAACACAUGCAAGUCGAACGGAAAGGCCCUGCUUUUGUGGGGUGCUCGAGUGGCGAACGGGUGAGUAACACGUGAGUAACCUGCCCUUGACUUUGGGAUAACUUCAGGAAACUGGGGCUAAUACCGGAUAGGAGCUCCUGCUGCAUGGUGGGGGUUGGAAAGUUUCGGCGGUUGGGGAUGGACUCGCGGCUUAUCAGCUUGUUGGUGGGGUAGUGGCUUACCAAGGCUUUGACGGGUAGCCGGCCUGAGAGGGUGACCGGCCCAAGUGGGCCGGGGAUGCGCCCCGGCCCCCAACGGGAGGCGACGGGGGGGAAUUUUACACAAGGGGCGGAGGCCAAAUGCGACCGCGCCGCGUGGGGGGUGACGGCCUUGGGUUUGUACCCCCCUUCCGCUUGUGACGAGGCGAGAGUGACGGUACGGGAAAAAGAAGCCCCGGCUAACUCCGUG
rnacentral:rRNA from 1 species